CAUGUAGGUUGUAAUUUAAGUCAGUGGUGAAAUCCUGCGGCUCAACCGUAGAACUGCCAUUGAUACUGAUAUUCUUGAAUGUAGUUGAGGUAGGCGGAAUGUGUAAUGUAGCGGUGAAAUGCUUAGAUAUUACACAGAACACCGAUUGCGAAGGCAGCUUACUAAACUAUGAUUGACGCUGAGGCACGAAAGCGUGGGGAGCGAACAGGAUUAGAUACCCUGGUAGUCC
rnacentral:rRNA from 1 species